CGGUGUUUAACUGGCGUGAUGUGGGACGUCCUACCGGUGGGCUUAGCCUCGCGAGGGGCGGCCCAACUAAUAUCCCGUCGCGGUGCUCUUUACUGAGUGUCGAGUCGGGCCGGUACGUUUACUUUGAACAAAUUAGAGUGCUUAAAGCAGGCUAUCCUCGCCUGAAUACUGCGUGCAUGGAAUAAUGGAAUAGGACCUCGGUUCUAUUUUGUUGGUUUUCAGAACCCCCGAGGUGAUGAUUAAUAGGGACAGAUGGGGGCAUUCGUAUUGCGACGUUAGAGGUGAAAUUCUGGGAUCGUCGCAAGACGGACAGAAGCGAAAGCAUUUGCCAAAAAUGUCUUCAUUAAUCAAGAACGAAAGUUAGAGGUUCGAAGGCGAUCAGAUACCGCCCUAGUUCUAACCAUAAACGAUGCCAGCUAGCGAUCCGCCGAAGUUCCUCCGAUGACUCGGCGGGCAGCUUCCGGGAAACCAAAGCUUUUGGGUUCCGGGGGAAGUAUGGUUGCAAAGCUGAAACUUAAAGGAAUUGACGGAAGGGCACCACCAGGAGUGGAGCCUGCGGCUUAAUUUGACUCAACACGGGAAACCUCACCAGGCCCAGACACCGGAAGGAUUGACAGAUUGAUAGCUCUUUCUUGAUUCGGUGGGUGGUGGUGCAUGGCCGUUCUUAGUUGGUGGAGCGAUUUGUCUGGUUAAUUCCGAUAACGAACGAGACUCUAGCCUGCUAAAUAGGCGUACCUUAUGGUAUCGCGAAGGCCCCCGGCUUCGGCCGGUGGGUUUUUACUACCAACGUACAAACAAAUCUUCUAGAGGGACAGGCGG
rnacentral:rRNA from 1 species